GCAGCAUGGUAUCUUAGUGGGCUAGCACUAUAAAAACAGCAUAAGUCAGGCUAGUACUAGCAGCCACACAUACACACGCAUGCACGUCCUCAUAUGAGCGAAAUAUUAUUAAGUACAACUUUAAACCCUAUUUCACUUCACCUGAAAUGUAUUUGACAUGUCUUU